AUUGAACGCUGGCGGCAUGCCUUACACAUGCCAGUCGAACGGUAACGGGCCUUCGGGUGCCGACGAGUGGCGAACGGGUGAGUAAUACAUCGGAACGUGCCCGAUCGUGGGGGAUAACGAGGCGAAAGCUUUGCUAAUACCGCAUACGAUCUACGGAUGAAAGCAGGGGACCGCAAGGCCUUGCGCGGACGGAGCGGCCGAUGGCAGAUUAGGUAGUUGGUGGGAUAAAAGCUUACCAAGCCGACGAUCUGUAGCUGGUCUGAGAGGAUGAUCAGCCACACUGGGACUGAGACACGGCCCAGACUCCUACGGGAGGCAGCAGUGGGGAAUUUUGGACAAUGGGCGCAAGCCUGAUCCAGCCAUGCCGCGUGCAGGAUGAAGGCCCUCGGGUUGUAAACUGCUUUUGUACGGAACGAAAAGCCUUCUUUUAAUACAGGAGGGUCAUGACGGUACCGUAAGAAUAAGCACCGGCUAACUACGUG
rnacentral:rRNA from 1 species